ensembl:lncRNA
GUGCAACAACCAGUUAUAAAACAGUUGAAAAACAACUGGAAGAGAUCAAAGGAGGAAGGACGUUUGAAAUGUACAGUAAUAAGGAACAGCUCAGGGACCAGUUUAUCUGUAUUGCUUCAGCUCAGUAAAGCUGAUAUGAAUCAUAGAAUUGUAGUGUCAUAGAAUGUUUUGGGUUGAAAGGGAUCUUUAAGAUCAACUAAUUCCAACCCCCUGCUACAGACAGGGACACCUCCCUCUAGACCAGGUUGCUCACAGCCCCAUCCAGCGUGAGCUUGAAUGCUUCCAGGGAGGGGGCAUCCGCAACCUUGUUUGGCAACAUAUUCCAGUGUCUCACCGCCCUCAAGGAAUAAUAGGCCUUCUUCCUACUGACAUGGAUUCUCAGAUGGAUCAGUAAUUCAUGUGGCAUUAUCAUCCUGUGAAGAGAAGCCUUGGAAGAGCAAAACAUUGAAACAGAUAAAAGACCUGGAAGAUCCUGUUAUCCUGUCUUUGGCAAGGUACAGAACAAGUGCACAGAGUUGUUUCCCCAGAAAUAUUCACCUUCCUUCCUCCAACAGUUUGCAACUCAAUGUCUUCCUGAGCCAGAGCAGUAAUCACAUUCAACUAUUACUGGACUUCUCUUCCCGGAAUAUUUUCCAUAUCACCUUCAAUUCAUGUAGAUGUUCAGUACCUACAGUAUCCAGAUACCUCUUGGGCCUGUAGCCACUGCCAACUCUUUUCAACAAAAGCAAUGGUAUUGCAUCCCAGGUGAUUUUAAGCUAACAGACUGUCCGCCAGAAGUUGAACAAUAUCAUCUGUCACUUCAAAGCGCUCUUGUGUACGACUUAUCUUACCCUGGCAGAAAGAGGUUCAUUGGGAACUAAAAUGGGCAAGACAUGCAAAGACAGUAGUGAAACAAGCCAAGGAAGGAAUUGUUCAGAAUGGACAACUAAUGCUCAUUUGCAGUGCUUUGCCCAACUCAACAGUUUGGGCACAAGACAUGGACUUGAAGCAUGAGUUGUCCAUCUCUGGGCAAGGGACCUGAUGUUGCACAAAAGAAAUAAAGAAUUCAUUCAAGGGCAUCCAACAGUGUAACGAGAUAAUUACACUGUCAAAACCAACAGGAUGCACUGCUUCUGGGUUUGGAGGAAAAGGUCCUUGAGUACUGACCAGCUUUCUUGGACCCUUCCUCCUGCCAGGGCUUUCUCCCAUGUCAUCCUGCCAAGCAGCUCCCUGUAGAGUUCAAAGUCAGCUCUCCUGAAGUCCAGAGUAGCAAGCUACGUGACACCAUCUUGGACUGACAAACCUUCACUUUGAACCUCAAGAAGUGGUAGACAAGACACCAGGAAGCUUCUACCAUUGAGUCAUCUUCAUCUUUAUUCCGAAAGACUUGUGUAUGUCAAAAAUUUGGAGGAUGAAACGAAACGAAAGGAUUAAGUCAAGACACAGUCUUAAUUUAAUACAAAGAU